AGAGUUUGAUCCUGGCUCAGGAUGAACGCUAGCGGCAGGCUUAACACAUGCAAGUCGAGGGGUAACAGGGUGCUUGCACCGCUGACGACCGGCGCACGGGUGCGUAACGCGUAUACAAUCUACCUUGUAGAGGGGGAUAGCCCGGGGAAACCCGGAUUAAUACCCCAUGGUAUUAUAGAAUAGCAUUAUUUUAUAAUUAAACAUUUAUGGCUAAGAGAUGAGUAUGCGUCCUAUUAGUUAGUUGGUAAGGUCACGGCUUACCAAGGCAUCGAUAGGUAGGGGUCCUGAGAGGGAGUUCCCCCACACUGGUACUGAGACACGGACCAGACUCCUACGGGAGGCAGCAGUGAGGAAUAUUGGGCAAUGGAGGCAACUCUGAACCAGCCAUGCCGCGUGCAGGAAGACUGCCCUAUGGGUUGUAAACUGCUUUUAUACAGGAAGAAACGAUCUCUCGUGAGGGGUUUUGACGGUACUGUACGAAUAAGCACCGGCUAACUCCGUGCCAGCAGCCGCGGUAAUACGGAGGAUCCAAGCGUUAUCCGGAAUCAUUGGGUUUAAAGGGUCCGUAGGUGGAUAAAUAAGUCAGAGGUGAAAUCCUGCAGCUCAACUGUAGAAUUGCCUUUGAAACUGUUUAUAUUGAGUCAUUAUGAAGUAGUUAGAAUAUGUAGUGUAGCGGUGAAAUGCAUAGAUAUUACAUAGAAUACCAAUUGCGAAGGCAGAUUACUAAUAAUGUACUGACACUGAUGGACGAAAGCGUGGGUAGCGAACAGGAUUAGAUACCCUGGUAGUCCACGCCGUAAACGAUGGUCACUAGCUGUUUGAAUGAACUUCGGUUUGAGUGGCUAAGCGAAAGUGAUAAGUGACCCACCUGGGGAGUACGUUCGCAAGAAUGAAACUCAAAGGAAUUGACGGGGGCCCGCACAAGCGGUGGAGCAUGUGGUUUAAUUCGAUAAUACGCGAGGAACCUUACCAGGGCUUAAAUGUAGAUUGACAGGGGUGGAAACACCUUUUCCUUCGGGCAAUUUACAAGGUGCUGCAUGGUUGUCGUCAGCUCGUGCCGUGAGGUGUCAGGUUAAGUCCUAUAACGAGCGCAACCCCUGUUGUUAGUUGCCAGCGAGUCAUGUCGUGAACUCUAACAAGACUGCCGGUGCAAACCGUGAGGAAGGUGGGGAUGACGUCAAAUCAUCACGGCCCUUACGUCCUGGGCCACACACGUGCUACAAUGGUAGGUACAGAGAGCAGCCACUGGGUGACCAGGAGCGAAUCUAUAAAACCUAUCUCAGUUCGGAUCGGAGUCUGCAACUCGACUCCGUGAAGCUGGAAUCGCUAGUAAUCGGAUAUCAGCCAUGAUCCGGUGAAUACGUUCCCGGGCCUUGUACACACCGCCCGUCAAGCCAUGGAAGCUGGGAGUACCUGAAGUCGGUCACCGCAAGGAGCCGCCUAGGGUAAAACUGGUAACUAGGGCUAAGUCGUAACAAGGUAACCGU
rnacentral:rRNA from 1 species